rnacentral:rRNA from 1 species
GAUGAACGCUGGCGGCGUGCCUAACACAUGCAAGUCGAACGGAGUCCAGCCUUUAAGACCUUCGGGUCAAAGAGGGGAAGACUGAGUGGCGGACGGGUGAGUAACACGUGGGCAACCUGGCUCAUAGAGGGGGAUAACAGAGAGAAAUUUCUGCUAAUACCGCAUAAGCACACACUGCCGCAUGGCAGAGGGUGAAAAGAGAAUCGCUAUGAGAUGGACCCGCGUCUGAUUAGCCAGUUGGCAGGGUAAGAGCCUACCAAAGCGACGAUCAGUAGCCGAUCUGGGAGGAUGAACGGCCACAUUGGGACUGAGACACGGGCCAAACUCCUACGGGAGGCAGCAGGGGGGGAUAAUGCACAAUGGGGGGAACCCUGAUGCAGCGACGCCGCGUGAGUGAAGAAGUAUUUCGGUAUGUAAAGCUCUAUCAGCAGGGAAGAUAAUGACAGUACCUGAAUAAGAAGCCCCGGCUAACUACGU